AGUGAACGCUGGCGGUAGGCCUAACACAUGCAAGUCGAACGGCAGCACAGUAAGAGCUUGCUCUUACGGGUGGCGAGUGGCGGACGGGUGAGGAAUACAUCGGAAUCUACUUUUUCGUGGGGGAUAACGUAGGGAAACUUACGCUAAUACCGCAUACGACCUACGGGUGAAAGCAGGGGAUCUUCGGACCUUGCGCGAUUGAAUGAGCCGAUGUCGGUUUAGCUAGUUGGCGGGGUAAAGGCCCACCAAGGCGACGAUCCGUAGCUGGUCUGAGAGGAUGAUCAGCCACACUGGAACUGAGACACGGUCCAGACUCCUACGGGAGGCAGCAGUGGGGAAUAUUGGACAAUGGGCGCAAGCCUGAUCCAGCCAUACCGCGUGGGUGUAGAAGGCCUUCGGGUUGUAAAGCCCUUUUGUUGGGAAAGAAAAGCAGCAGGUUAAUACCCCGCUGUUCUGACGGUACCCAAAGAAUAAGCACCGGCUAACUUCGUG
rnacentral:rRNA from 1 species